CCCGGGCUCAACCUGGGAACUGCAUUCGAAACUGGCAGGCUUGAGUCUUGUAGAGGGGGGUAGAAUUCCAGGUGUAGCGGUGAAAUGCGUAGAGAUCUGGAGGAAUACCGGUGGCGAAGGCGGCCCCCUGGACAAAGACUGACGCUCAGGUGCGAAAGCGUGGGGAGCAAACAGGAUUAGAUACCCUGGUAGUCCACGCCGUAAACGAUGUCUACUUGGAGGUUGUGCCCUUGAGGCGUGGCUUCCGGAGCUAACGCGUUAAGUAGACCGCCUGGGGAGUACGGCCGCAAGGUUAAAACUCAAAUGAAUUGACGGGGGCCCGCACAAGCGGUGGAGCAUGUGGUUUAAUUCGAUGCAACGCGAAGAACCUUACCUGGUCUUGACAUCCACGGAAGUUUUCAGAGAUGAGAAUGUGCCUUCGGGAACCGUGAGACAGGUGCUGCAUGGCUGUCGUCAGCUCGUGUUGUGAAAUGUUGGGUUAAGUCCCGCAACGAGCGCAACCCUUAUCCUUUGUUGCCAGCGGUUAGGCCGGGAACUCAAAGGAGACUGCCAGUGAUAAACUGGAGGAAGGUGGGGAUGACGUCAAGUCAUCAUGGCCCUUACGACCAGGGCUACACACGUGCUACAAUGGCGCAUACAAAGAGAAGCGACCUCGCGAGAGCAAGCGGACCUCAUAAAGUGCGUCGUAGUCCGGAUUGGAGUCUGCAACUCGACUCCAUGAAGUCGGAAUCGCUAGUAAUCGUGGAUCAGAAUGCCACGGUGAAUACGUUCCCGGGCCUUGUACACACCGCCCGUCACACCAUGGGAGUGGGUUGCAAAAGAAGUAGGUAGCUUAACCUUCGGGAGGGCGCUUACCACUUUGUGAUUCAUGACUGGGGUGAAGUCGUAACAAGGUAACCGUAGGGGAACCUGCGGUUGGAUCACCUCCUUA
rnacentral:rRNA from 1 species